GAUGAACGCUAGCGGGAGGCCUAACACAUGCAAGCCGAGCGGUAUUGUUUCUUCGGAAAUGAGAGAGCGGCGUACGGGUGCGGAACACGUGUGCAACCUGCCUUUAUCUGGGGGAUAGCCUUUCGAAAGGAAGAUUAAUACUCCAUAACAUAUUGAUUGGCAUCAAUUAAUAUUGAAAGCUCCGGCGGAUAGAGAUGGGCACGCGCAAGAUUAGCUAGUUGGUGAGGUAACGGCUCACCAAGGCGAUGAUCUUUAGGGGGCCUGAGAGGGUGAGCCACCACACUGGUACUGAGACACGGACCAGACUCCUACGGGAGGCAGCAGUGAGGAAUAUUGGUCAAUGGGUGCAAGCCUGAACCAGCCAUCCCGCGUGAAGGACGACUGCCCUAUGGGUUGUAAACUUCUUUUGUAUAGGGAUAAACCUACCCUCGUGAGGGUAGCUGAAGGUACUAUACGAAUAAGCACCGGCUAACUCCGUGCCAGCAGCCGCCGUAAUAC
rnacentral:rRNA from 1 species